rnacentral:rRNA from 1 species
GUAGAGAGCUGAAUGUACCCGAAGAAUAAGGAUCGGCUAACUCCGUGCCAGCAGCCGCGGUAAUACGGAGGAUCCGAGCGUUAUCCGGAUUUAUUGGGUUUAAAGGGUGCGUAGGCGGCUUUUUAAGUCAGGGGUGAAAUACGGCAGCUCAACUGUCGCAGUGCCUUUGAUACUGAAGAGCUUGAAUGUGGUUGAAGAUGGCGGAAUGAGACAAGUAGCGGUGAAAUGCAUAGAUAUGUCUCAGAACUCCGAUUGCGAAGGCAGCUAUCUAAGCCAUUAUUGACGCUGAUGCACGAAAGCGUGGGGAUCGAACAGGAUUAGAUACCCUGGUAGUCCACGCCCUAAACGAUGAUAACUCGAUGUUGGCGAUACACAGUCAGCGUCCCAGCGAAAGCGUUAAGUUAUCCACCUGGGGAGUACGCCCGCAAGGGUGAAACUCAAAGGAAUUGACGGGGGCCCGCACAAGCGGAGGAGCAUGUGGUUUAAUUCGAUGAUACGCGAGGAACCUUACCCGGGCUUGAAAGUUAGUGACGGAUGCAGAGACGCAUCCUUCCUUCGGGACACGAAACUAGGUGCUGCAUGGCUGUCGUCAGCUCGUGCCGUGAGGUGUUGGGUUAAGUCCCGCAACGAGCGCAACCCCUAUGUUUAGUUGCCAGCACGUAAUGGUGGGGACUCUAGACAGACUGCCUGCGUAAGCAGUGAGGAAGGUGGGGACGACGUCAAGUCAUCAUGGCCCUUACGUCCGGGGCUACACACGUGCUACAAUGGAUGGUACAGCGGGCAGCUACACAGCAAUGUGAUGCCAAUCUCGAAAAGCCAUUCACAGUUCGGAUCGGGGUCUGCAACUCGACCCCGUGAAGUUGGAUUCGCUAGUAAUCGCGUAUCAGCAAUGACGCGGUGAAUACGUUCCCGGGCCUUGUACACACCGCCCGUCAAGCCAUGAAAG